GCCGAGGGCCCGGCUGCUGCCGUACCCCCCCCGCGCGGCCGUGCCGGGGGCUGAGCGCUGCGCAACCAGAGCUGCGCCUGCACCGAGCCGGGGGCCGGGGGCUGGCUCCUGCCUGACGUCACCGCGGAGAAACGGCAGCAUCCAGGCUUUUUUAUUAUUUUUUUAUAUAUAUUUUUUUUAUUUUUUCUCCUUCAUUUGAAUUCCCUUGCAAUCUCUGCCCAAAAAUAACGCCAGCUUCCUCCCCGGGGGUUGCUGUGCAUGGCGCUCUGGCUCCCUCGCCCUCCCGUGCGUUAGGCUGACGGCUGCUGAAGGCAGCAAUUAGCCGGUGGCACACCGCGACCUUUCCGAAAAGCCCUUUUGGGCAGCUCAGCACCGUGGUGCUGCGCCGUGCGGGGAGGUGCGCGGCCGCGGGGGGGGGCGCGGAGCCCCGGCAGGCCGGUGGGUGCCCUGCGGAGAGCCCCAGCACCACGGGGGCUGCGCGCCCCCGGCCCCCCGGGGCCAGGGAACCCCGGGGCCGUGCUGGGCUCCCCCCGGGGCGCACCGGGGGCACCAUCGCCGCCCCCCCCCGCUCCUCCCCAGCCCCUCCCCAGCCCCGCGCCGAGCCGUGCCCGCCCGCUCCGCAUUGCAGCACCGCGGGACCCGCCGCUGCGGAGCCGGGCGGGGGGAGGCUGGGGGGGACGCAGCUCCCGGUGGGUGCCCCCCACCCCAUCAAGGCCAUCGGGGGGGGCUCGUGGGCAGCCCCCCGCAGCCCCGCCCGCAGGCAGCCGGUGCGGAUCGGCGCCGGGGGGGGCUGCCGGCCUUGCGGGGCGAGCAGGGCACGGGCAGGAUCAGGUCCCCGGCCCCCCCCCCGCCCGGCGGGGCGGUGCUAGCCGGGGUCCCCCAGCCCCUCUGCACCUCCGCGGGGACCGCCCAGGGGAGCCCGGGGGUCCCAGGAGAUCCCGGGGAGGUCCCAGGGGGUCCAGGGGAGGUCCUAGGGGGGUCUCAGGGGGUCCCGGGGGGGUCCCAGCACACCUAGGCAGGAAGGCACCGGGUGAACAGAGGCCACCAGAGCUCCGUGCCAUGGGAACGGGCAGCUGGGGACACUGGGGGGCUGCACCAGGGCAGGAUCCGGCCCCAGGGAUCUGUGCCCAGAGGUGCCGUGGUCCCGCAGCGAGGUGCCCGGCUCCAGCCCUCGCCCGUGCCACCACAGCAGCGGUGCAGCAAGGCCACGCCGCUGGCCUCUCUGUGGCUCAGAGCCCCGCAAACGGACUUCAGAGAUCUAAAAAUACAGAACGAGUUGGAUUAAGGUUAUACCCAACACUACGGCU
rnacentral:lncRNA from 1 species